AGCUUUGUGCAGUGGCAGUAUCGUAGCCAGUGAGGUUUAUCCUAGGCUCAACUGCUGCUAAUUGAAAACAGAAUUGAGUGCUCUAUUAUUUAAGGCCUCCACCUGUCGGGUCCCAAAGAAAGUCUGAACAAGGCUCAUUCCU